GCCACCUCUCCUGUCCUGUGUGGAUUUGGUCGCCCUAAAGCUCGGGCAGGUUUCAGGACCAGGACAUCUAAGUGAGUCGGACAUUUUCAGCAGCAUUCAGAAUACAUUUCCUGCUUCAGCUGAGGGAAACUUUAAAUACAUGCAAAUGGAUGCAAUAGACUGCUACGGACAUGACACCUGACACCUGCCUCUUUCAGUUCAUCAGACGUCAGAGUUUGUACCGUGAGAAUGGCUGACGUGUCAGACAGGUACAUUUUUAAAAGCAGGUGCCACACUGAUCUAAUCCACAAUGACCAGCACACCCUCUCUCUCUGCUUUGGAGUCUGUGAAUGGACACUUUGUUUUUUCCAGGACUCAUGACAAAUUGUGGGAAACGUCUGUGGCUCUUUACGUCCGCGUUCAUAAGCUGCUGAUAAACUCUGCACUUUGCCCUCCCUCUCUGUGAUCGCUUGGGAAAGCUGGUCCCAGAGAGUUUUUCCAAAAUGAUGCCUUCGAACACGGUAUCUUUAAUAACUGCUUGCACUUGUUCCAGAUGAUGCAUGCUGGUUUUGUGUUUUAAGUAAACAAAUAAAUGUCUUGCAUUCCAUGCAGGGUUAAACUGA